rnacentral:tRNA from 1 species
GGAUUAGCUCAGUUGGUAGAGCACUUGAUUUGUAAUCAAGGGGUCGGGGGUUCGAAUCCUCCAUCCG